GUGAGGUAACGGCCCACCAAGGCGAUGAUGCGUAGCCGACCUGAGAGGGUGACCGGCCACAUUGGGACUGAGACACGGCCCAAACUCCUACGGGAGGCAGCAGUAAGGAAUUUUCGGCAAUGGGCGCAAGCCUGACCGAGCAACGCCGCGUGAACGAAGACGGCCCUAUGGGUUGUAAAGUUCUGUUGUAAAGGAAGAACACUAUGAAUAGAAUUCAUAGCUGACGGUACUUUACCAGAAAGCCACGGCUAACUACGUGCCAGCAGCCGCGGUAAUACGUAGGUGGCAAGCGUUAUCCAGAAUUAUUGGGCGUAAAGGGUGCGCAGUCGGCAAAUUAAGUUUGUGGUGAAAGUGCGGGGCUUAACUCCGUAUAGCCAUGAAAACUGGUUAGCUAGAGUGCAGAAGAGGGUAGUGGAAUUCCAUGUGUAGCGGUAAAAUGCGUAGAUAUAUGGAGGAACACCAGUGGCGAAGGCGGCUACCUGGUCUGUAACUGACGAUGAGGCACGAAAGCGUGGGGAGCAAAUAGGAUUAGAUACCCUAGUAGUCCACGCUGUAAACGAUGAAUACUAAGUGUUGGGGAAACUCAGUGCUGCAGCAAACGCAAUAAGUAUUCCGCCUGGGGGAGUAUGCACGCAAGUGUGAAACUCAAAGGAAUUGACGGGGGCCCGCACAAGCGGUGGAUUAUGUGGUUUAAUUCGAAGCAACGCGAAGAACCUUACCAGGUCUUGACAUACCGAUAAAGCCCUAGAGAUAGGGAAAUAGCUAUAUUGGAUACAGGUGGUGCAUGUUGUCGUCAGCUCGUGUCGUG
rnacentral:rRNA from 1 species